GACAGAGGGUGCAAACGUUGCUCGGAAUCACUGGGCGUAAAGGGCGUGUAGGCGGGAAGGAAAGUCAGAUGUGAAAUCCCUGGGCUCAACCCAGGAACUGCAUUUGAAACUCCCUUUCUUGAGUACCGGAGAGGAAGGUGGAAUGCCUGGUGUAGAGGUGAAAUUCGUAGAUAUCAGGCGGAACACCAGUGGCGAAGGCGGCCUUCUGGACGGUAACUGACGCUGAGACGCGAAAGCGUGGGGAGCGAACAGG
rnacentral:rRNA from 1 species